rnacentral:tRNA from 1 species
GGGUAUAUAGCUCACUGGUAGAGUGCAUACUUAGCAUGCAUGAGGUCCUGGGUUUAAUACCCUGUACCUCCA